rnacentral:snRNA from 1 species
AGUGAUGUGUCUCCUCAUUUGCGGAUAAAUCUUUCGCCUUUUACUAAAGAUUUCCGUGGGGAGGCACAAUACAAUGAGUCUUAUCUCAUUUUUUAGUGAUGUGAUCGGUUAAAAUA